UUAUAACUGUACUAAGGUAGCAUAAUAAUUUGCUCUAUAAAUUGGGGCUAGAAUGAAUGGUUUGACGAAAAUUUGACUGUCUCUAUUUUAUUUAUUAGAAAUUAAUUUUUGUAGUGAGAAAGCUUAAAUUGUUUAAAGGGACGAAAAGACCCUAUUGAGCUUAUAUUAUUUUAUAAAUUAUAUGAUUGUUGUUUAUUUAAAAUAAUUUUGAUUGGGGUGAUCAAGGAAUAAGAUUGUUUAAAUUAACUUCCUUAAUUAAUUUGUUUUGUGGAAAAAUAAACCAAAUUUUUUGCUUAGAAGAUAAGUUACCAUAGGGAUAACAGCGUAAUUUUUUUUGAGAGUUCAUAUUGAAAAAAGAGAUUGCGACCUCGAUGUUGGAUUAA
rnacentral:rRNA from 1 species